rnacentral:lncRNA from 1 species
AGUUACCAUCAGAGGGAGGGGAAAAAGAGAAGUCUUCAUUGAUAGCGAUAAGACACACCACUCCAAUUCCAAAAAAAAAAAAAAACCACAAAAAAACAAACCCGUUCAAUGUGCACGAAUUGGGAUCAGUGUGUCAGCAGCGGCAUGGCUCUACAGGAAAAACGGCACAGACAUUGUACAGUUGUGUAUCGGUCUCCAGAAUCAAAGCAGCAGAGCGGUCAGGUUGCGAUUGGAUCCAGACACAAAGGGAAAAGGAAAGUCUGAGAAUCUCUUUAUUACUUCCAGAAAAAUAUGGCCAGCAUGUUCCAGAAAAGCCAAACCAUCAGCAGCCUUGACAUUAAAGAGCGAUUAACUCCACCUUCCGGUUGAUGUGCUGAUAUUUUUAUAUUCACACUGCAGGGUAUCCUAUACUACACAAAUGCACAGCUGAGUAAAUGGCAUGGUUCGCCACUC